AAAGCGAAGUGAAAAACUCAAGUAAGCAAAAAAAGAUUUUAAAAGUUCCUAAGAAGUGAUUAGAGGUGGUGAAUAUGAGUCCACCAUUUUUAAAGAAUUAUGUGCAGAAACUGGUUUAUACCACCAAAGAACUGCACCAUUUAUCCUCAAUCCAAUGGAAUUGCCGAAGGAAAAAUAGACUUUAAAAGAAAUGAUGAAGCUUAUUGAAAAUUUGGGCCUUCCACAGAACUUGUGGGGGGAAGCGGUUUUAACGCUCAUCAUAUUUAAAUAGAUUACCCCAUAAGAAAUUUGGAAUAAGACUCCCUAUGAGUUAUGGAAAGGAAGAGAGCCUUCUCAAAUAAUUCAAAAGUGGUGGGGGUGUUGAGCUAAGGUUAUUGUACCUACUCCUAAGAAAGUUAGGAUUGGUCCUUUCAAACGGUGAUGUGAUUAUUGGAUAUGAAACAUAAUAUAGUGCAUAUAGAUUUUUUAGGUACAAAAAUCUGAAAGUAUUAGAUCUACAUGAGAAUACGAUCAUAGAGUCAAGAAAUGCAUAUUUCUUUGAGAAUGUAUUCCCUUAAAAGAAAUACGAGAAAUGAAUUCAUCAAAAAGAUCUCAUGAGGAGAUAGAUGAAUCAAACAACAUAACCGAAAGAGGAAAUAAUAAGAAAAAGUAAAAGAGCCAAAAAUGAAUAGUCUUUGGUCCAGGAUUUCAAAAACUAUCUGUAUGGAAAGUGAGACGCAAAGCUUUAAGAAGCGAUGUCUUGUCCAGAGGCACCUCAAUGGAAAGAAGCGGUAAAUAGUGAAAUAGAAUCAAUUCUCCAAAAAUCAUACUGGGAAUUGGUGGAUCUUCUCUGGAAAUAAACCACUUGAUAUAAGUGGAUUUUUUAAAAGGAAAGUUUAAAGCUGCUGGGUCUAAGAUAAGUAUAAGGCGAGACUUGUAGUAAAGCUAUAGACAAAAGGAAGGACUCGUAUAUUUCGAUAUACUCUCUGUUACAAGAAUUAACAUCAUAGAUUGUUAAUAGCAGUUGUGCUAUAAACAAAUUGGAAAUCAUCAAAGAAUGUAAAAGACAGCCUUCCUAAAUGGGGAAAUUGGAAGAAGAAAUUACAUGGAGCAACCACGAGGUUUUCAAGCUCCUGGAAAUGGGAACAGGUGUGUAAAACUGUAAAAUCCUGUAUGGAUUGAAAACAGCACCUAAACAAUGGCACAAAAAAAAUUGACCUGUCUGGAUUCAAAUGAUUUCAAAAUCACUGAUGUGACAAAGCGUGUUCUGUCAAAAUUACUGAAAGGGUAUGGUCAUUAUUUGUUGUAUGUAGAUGAUAUGUGAAUUAUUGGAAGUAAUAAUUACAUGAUCUUAUCUACUAAAAAUCUUUUUAAUGUCAAAUUGACAUGAAAGAUCUUGGUGUGCAGAUGUAAUUCUGGGAAUUAAAGCGAAAGAACACCUGAAGGGAUAUCUGUCCCAAUCAAAUUACGUGAAAAAAUUUAGAGAAAUUUGACAAGAUGGGGAUGGAAAAGCUACAUCCUCCCCCUUUCCCUUCUUUACGAUAGAGUAAAUUAAAUCUAACAAAGAAUACCUAGGAGAAACAGUAUCCCAAUUAUUUAUACUCAAGGAUUAUAGGCAGUUAAUGGAACUUAAUGAAUUGUACAAAGACGAUGAUAUGCUUAUGCGGUAGUAAAUUGAGUUAGAUUACUAGUAAUCCUGGAGAUAAUCAUUAUGGAAGCAAUAAUUCGAGUUUUAAGGUAUCUUAGAUAUACCACAAAAACUCUGGAUUAUUUUAUUAUGGGCUAUCUGCAGUACCUGAUGGGAUAUUGGGAUGGCGCAAAUUGGAUCUCAGGACUAUAAAAGACUCUAAAUCCACAAGUGGUUAUGUAUUCAAUAUGGGAGUGUAAGUAUCCUGGAGACAUCCUCUAAACAAACAUGCAUUGCAGAUUUACUAUGGAAGCAGAGUUUAUGAUUAGACAAAGCCGGAGAAAGGGUGAAUGAUUAGACAAUUUUUAGAGAAUAUUCCCAAAAUUGGUCAAAAAACAUGUGCCUGCUGUGGUAUUACAUUGUGAUAGUCAAUCAGCAAUUGCAAGGGCACAAAGUAAUUUGUAUACUGGUAAGUCUAUACAAUUCGUUCGUAGGACACAAUACCAUUAAACAACUUCGCUCUAAUGGUGUUAUUUUAUAGAUUAUGUAAAAUCUAAGGAAAAUGGCGGAUCCGCUUACAAAAGGUUUAUCUAGAGAGCAAGAAGUUUAAAUCUUCGAGGGAAUGGGAUAUUAAGCCUCUAGUCAAAGAGUGCCAUAGUGGAAACCCAACUAGUUGAUGGAGAUCACAAGAUCUAGUUCAAAGGGACAAAACUAAACAAUGGGGUACUAAGUCGUAGUGUUAUAAGCCAUGUGGUAGAAAGGGUAAAACCUGUUUUGGACCUACCGUUCCUAUGAAGUAAACAACGUGCGUCUGUAUGAGCCUUUAGGCUAAGUAUAACUUUUAAUGACACUUGUAUCUCGUAAAAUAUUUAAAGUGGGGUAUUGCAGAGUACUCUUAACAAGAUGUCACCUAUGUGAGUGUGGAUGGGGCCGUUACUAUUAUGAGGAAUUUUGGGCGCAUUCUUAGAGCAUCAUGAGAAACCAGGUGUUGUUCAGGGCAAAAAUGAACACAACCAUGAGAACCAAAAGUGUCGGAGGGUAUCGUGUGCAUAUGUGUCUGGUUUUACACUCAAAGCUGGACAGUUCAAAGGGAGUCAGUUCCACGUUUGAGCGAGUAAUCCGGAAAUUUAGUAUGUAACUAAGGAAGGUCAAGGCGAAAGCACCUCUUCCUGAUGCUUAAUUCUCCAUUUCUCUCUCUCUUAGGGUUUACAGUACAUUACAUCAAUCAAUUUUCCAUUCCUGUGGGGGGAUGUUAGAGUUUGGUUUUUUGAGAGUGUGUGUGAAACACACUUGGAACUAAACUUUAUAAGUCCGUACACUAAAUUAAAUGAACAAUGAUAGAUUCAUGUUCUCCUAAAUGAGUAGAUGAAUUAGUGUAUUCAUUUGUCAAAAAAACUAAGGUUAAGUUGAAUGAGAAAGUUUCUCAAAGAAGCUUCAAUGCAAGGAAAAACUGGGGAUAGACACGGUGUCCACAUUGGAAAAAGAACGGAAAAAGGAAAGUUAGUGGAAAUAUUAAAGCCAAGUAUGGACUCUUUAAAUUGGGCCCUUGGGACCACACAAGUUUUUAAGGGGGAGUUAUGUAUAAAGUGGGCCUGGAUCCAUUAGCCUAUGGGCUUUAUGGAUUUGACCCAUGUGCGGCUGGCGCCCAGCCGCCGCCCGUCCCGACCGACCCCGGCCCGGUUCGGUUCGGUUCGUGUUCGGCGGGCGCGGCCGGGCUCGGGCUGUGGGUUUGGGCUUUGGGCCUUUGGGCUUAAUUGAAUAUUAAAAUUUUUUUGAGGAAAAUGUAUUCAAUUAUUAAUUUCUAAAUUAAGAAAAUUACAGUUUCUCCUCGGAAGUAAUGUCUUUGCAACGGUCACCACCGUUUCGGAUUUAAACAAAAGCGGUUCUACGAAAUUUCUUCCAGAAGUUUUCCUUUGAUCCGCGAAAGGUGCAAACCGUUCAAUUUGUGCAGAAAGUCCCUGUGCACAGCUGUUCGGCCGAAUAGGUGCUAUUUGGGACCGAAUGGGUUUGCCUUUCCAAAGAGAUGUGACCUUUAGAAAGGUGGUGUUGGCUUCUAUAAAUACCUCCAACAUCCCAGCAAUUCUUCAUAAUUCGAAAUCCUAAGAGCAAGCAUUAGAGAGUGCUAGAGCACAGCAUCUUCUAGGUUCAUUUGAGAGAGAGAAGACACUUGAAGGUCGACGUGAUCUUCUGAUUUGGAGAGUACUCCUUCAGAAGGGGAUUGUUGCCUGUUGUUAUUGGGAGUAUUACAACAUAUUCCGUAAGUACAAGUGCGGGUUGUAAAACGAAUUAGGACACUGAUUAAUUCAGGCCUCAGCCAAAUCAAAAUUCUGCAUCUUACGUUGCAUGGUUUAAUAAGUCUGUUCUUCUUCUUCUUCUUCUAUUGUGCAUUCAAACUUUGUUUUAAACAAAAAGAAACUAAGAGUUUACCAAAAAGUGUACAUUGGAAGAUUUUGUGGUUUUUCUAUUUGGAGAUUUUGGGGAAGUCAUAUGUGGUCCUGUCUGUGUUGGUGAAAGUGGUUUGAUUCUUGAUUUGCCAGCAACAGUGGUGUCUGUCUGUGUAGGUGACGGCUAUGGCAGUGGGAGGUGAUGUGGGGACUGGGGAGGGCUUGAUAAUGGUGGUGUAUUAGACUUUUUUAGGUAAUCUGCAAUUAACAAGGGUAGGGAAGUGCUAGGAUUUUUUUUUCUUGCUGGUGAAGUGUUAGGUUUUUUUUUUUUUUUUGAGGGAGAGAAUGAUGAAGAGUAUAAGGGCGUUUCAGUUUUAAAAUUGAAGGUUAUAAAGUAAUUUAACACUUUUUGUUAUCUCUAUUGAAGGACAAACACUGACAAGAGAUGUCAAUAUAAUUUUCAGAACGUGAGGCCAUCUGCAUACCAGGAGAAAGUCAUUGUAAUUUGUCUUUUUUUUCUUUCCCAGAGGACGGAAUAAACAAGGCCUUAGCCAAAGAGCUUGUAAAGUGACCUUGUGAGUGCCCUUGUACAGUUGUACUAGUGGCACUGGCGUAAAUUCUAUUUUUUAGUUUGCCCUUGUCAGUGCCCUUGUAAUAGUGGCAACAUAUAAAGUUGUAGAGACAGAGCGUGAACACAACCAUUCUUUGAGGUCUCUCUCCUUCUAUUCUUCUUCUUUGAAAACACCAUUUAAUCAUACAAUUUCUUGACGUGCAGAUCUUGUCUUGAAGAUAUCAACAAUUACCAAGACACCCAAUUCUAUAUUCCCCAAACCCACAUGGAUCUCUACCCCCCUCUCUCUCUUUUUAGUGCCCGUCAAGGUCGACGUCGUGCCUCUGACAUGCAUUAAUCGGUGUUCGGUGGGUAUCUCACUCUACUCUCUCUCCUCUCUUUCUCUUCAAUCGGGGAUGAUGGGUUUGGUUUGGGGGUUUCUUGAUUUGAAGAUUUGUGG
rnacentral:lncRNA from 1 species